rnacentral:siRNA from 1 species
AAGCUUCUCACCUUGAUAUACGG